GCCCAGGAAGUAUUUAACCCUUUGGCGGAGGGGUGUUGUUUCUUUUCGCGCAGAGGCGUCCUUGCAGACGGGGAGAUCUGCAGCCAGAAGAUUGUAGUCAUCUGCUCUUCAGCGGAUCACAAGUCAUCGGCAUGUCUCAGUGUUGCCCGUUCCAUGUUCCUGAGCUGAGAUUGGUUCUUUGCGGAGAUCCUCUGAGAUUAAUUUCCCUUCCUCAGGGUGCUUUGCACUUAUCAGACUUUUAAUGUUCUGCCCAGGUGAGAAGACUCCGAGUCAACAAUGGAGAGUGUCAGAGGCACCAACUUUGCUUUGGAGAGCAAGCAAAGACCAAUCUGUUUAAAUGAUGCGGCACUCAUAAGUUCCUGAAAGUAUUUGGAAGGCGCCUUUCUGGAGAGAAUGCAGGACUCCCUCUGAAAACCAUCCCCUCUGCUGGGCUCCUCUUGUUUCUGUCUGCAGUAGAAAAAAGGUGGUGAAUCUGGACUGCAGUGUGUCCAUGGGAGAUGGGACUACCUGAUGCCAGCCAGGAGCUGGACUGACUCAGAAGCUGCAUCCUAAGCAGAGGGCUUUGCUCUGCUGUAUCUUCGGGGGCUCCUGGGUGAGAGGCCUGAAGGCACUUCAAAUUCCAAGCAUCUAGAACCAGGCAUACUAAAUAACAUAAAUAAAAAUAAAUAAAAUUUGUUAAUCUGUGUCAAAUGUU